GUCUAUGGCCAUAUCACCCUGAACGUGCCCGAUCUCCUCUGAUCUCGGAAGCUAAGCAGGGUUGGGCCCAGUUGGUACUUGGAUGGGAGAAAGGGAGUCCUCUUGUGGUGGUGAUC
rnacentral:rRNA from 1 species